GCCCGGCUAGCUCAAUCGGUAGAGCGUGAGACUCUUAGUACACGCCCUCAAAGGCGUUGCAGGCAUCUCAAGGCUGCGGGUUCGACCCCCGCGUUGGGCU